UACAGAGGGGGCAAGCGUUGCUCGGAAUUACUGGGCGUAAAGGGCGCGUAGGCGGAAUGGCAAGUCGGUCGUGAAAUCCUUCGGCUCAACCGAAGAACGUCGAUCGAAACUGCCGUUCUUGAGGAUUGCAGAGGAGACUGGAAUUCCCGGUGUAGCGGUGAAAUGUGUAGAGAUCGGGAGGAACACCGAUGGCGAAGGCGGGUCUCUGGGCAAUUCCUGACGCUGAGGCGCGAAAGCGUGGGGAGCAAACGGG
rnacentral:rRNA from 1 species